rnacentral:rRNA from 1 species
AUUGAACGCUGGCGGCAGGCCUAACACAUGCAAGUCGAGCGGAUGAAGGGAGCUUGCUCCUGGAUUCAGCGGCGGACGGGUGAGUAAUGCCUAGGAAUCUGCCUGGUAGUGGGGGAUAACGUCCGGAAACGGGCGCUAAUACCGCAUACGUCCUGAGGGAGAAAGUGGGGGAUCUUCGGACCUCACGCUAUCAGAUGAGCCUAGGUCGGAUUAGCUAGUUGGUGGGGUAAAGGCCUACCAAGGCGACGAUCUGUAACUGGUCUGAGAGGAUGAUCAGUCACACUGGAACCGAGACACGGUCCAGACUCCUACGGGAGGCAGCAGUGGGGAAUAUUGGACAAUGGGCGAAAGCCUGAUCCAGCCAUGCCGCGUGUGUGAAGAAGGUCUUCGGAUUGUAAAGCACUUUAAGUUGGGAGGAAGGGCAGUAAGUUAAUACCUUGCUGUUUUGACGUUACCAACAGAAUAAGCACCGGCUAACUUCGUG